ACGCUCGACACCUACGGGAGGCAGCAGUGGGGAAUAUUGCACAAUGGGGGAAACCCUGAUGCAGCGACGCCGCGUGAGUGAAGAAGUAUUUCGGUAUGUAAAGCUCUAUCAGCAGGGAANAAGAUGACGGUACCUGAGUAAGAAGCCCCGGNUAACUACGUGCCAGAAGCCGCGGUAAUCUGAGCGGCUGGCAAGGC
rnacentral:rRNA from 1 species